rnacentral:rRNA from 1 species
GAUGAACGCUGGCGGCGUGCCUAAUACAUGCAAGUCGAGCGAACGGACGAGAAUCUUGCUUUUCUGAUGUUAGCGGCGGACGGGUGAGUAACACGUGGAUAACCUACCUAUAAGACUGGGAUAACUUCGGGAAACCGGAUCUAAUACCGGAUAAUAUUUUGAACCGCAUUGUUCAAAAGUAAAAGACGGUCUUGCUGUCACUUAUAGAUGGAUCCGCGCUGCAUUAGCUAGUUGUUAAGGUAACGGCUUACCAAGGCAACGAUGCAUAGCCGACCUGAGAGGGUGAUCGGCCACACUGGAACUGAGACACGGUCAAGACUACUACGGGAGGCAGCAGUAGGGAAUCUUCCGCAAUGGGCGAAAGCAUGACGGAGCAACGCCGCGUGAGUGAUGAAGGUCUUCGGAUCGUAAAACUCUGUUAUUAGGGAAGAACAUAUGUGUAAGUAACUGUGCACAUCUUGACGGUACCUAAUCAGAAAGCCACGGCUAACUACGUG